AAACACAUAGGUUUGGUCCUAGCUUUCUCAUUAGUUUCUAGUAAAAUUAUACAUGCAAGUAUCUGCCCUCCAGUGAGAAUGCCCUCUAGGUCCCAACAGACCAAAAGGAGCGGACAUCAAGGACACUAACAAGUAACUCACAACAUCUUGCUCAACCACACCCCCACGGGAUACAGCAGUAAGAAAAAUUAAGCAAUAAACGAAAGUUCGACUAAGUUAUACUAGAAAUACAGGGUUGGUAAAUUUCGUGCCAGCCACCGCGGUCAUAUGAUUAACCCAAACUAAUAAGAUCCGGUGUAAAGCGUGUUUAAAUUAUACUCAAACUAAAGUUAAACCCUGACUAGGCCGUAAAAAGCUACAGUCAAACCUAAAAUAAUCCACGAAAGUGACUUUAAUGUUUUGAAGACAUGACAGCUAAGACUCAAACUGGGAUUAGAAACCCCACUAUGCUUAGCCAUAAAUAUAAAUAAAUUUAAACAAAUUUAUUCGCCAGAGUACUACAAGCAACAGCUUAAAACUCAAAGGACUUGACGGUGCUUCACAUCCCUCUAGAGGAGCCUGUUCUAUAACUGAUAACCCCGAUUAACCUUACCACCCCUUGCUAAUUCAGUCCAUAUACUGCCAUCUUCAGCAAACCCUAAAAAGGCCCUAAAGUAAGCACAAGUAUAAACAUAAAAACGUUAGGUCAAGGUGUAACCUAUGAGGUGGAAAGCAAUGGGCUACAUUCUCUACUUUAGAGCAUUACGAAUAUUCUUAUGAAAACAAGAAUUAAAGGAGGAUUUAGCUGUAAACUAAGAAUAGAGAGCUUGAUUGAAAAAAGGCCAUGAAGCACGCACACACUGCCCAUCACCCUCCUCAAAUGCAACCCAUACAACAGCUACAUAAAAAUAAAUCAUAACGCAUGAGAUGAGAUAAGUCGUAACAAGUUAAGCAUACUGGAAAGUGUGCUUGGAAUAGACAAAGU
rnacentral:ncRNA from 1 species